rfam:Acromyrmex echinatior unplaced genomic scaffold scaffold483, whole genome shotgun sequence.
UACCCUGAAUGGUGGAUCACUUCGCUCGUGGGUCAAUGAAGAACGCAGCUAAUUGCGCGUCAACUUGUAAAUUGCAGGACACAUGAACAUCGACAUUUCAAACGCAUAUUACGGUCCAUGGAUACAAUUCCCGGACCAUGCCUGGCUGGGUUUGU